GUUAUAGUAGUUUAAUUUUUAGAAUGUUGUUUUGAUGGGACAAUGGUUUUUAUAAUU
rnacentral:tRNA from 1 species